rnacentral:pre_miRNA from 1 species
GAUUUCAAUUGAAAAAGUCAUCAACAACAAAGUUGAAUAACUCAUUAAGAUCUAAAACUUUUAUUUUGUUAUUUCUUCAUCCGACGAAAUGUUAGUAAUAUUAUUCACAAAAUUUACAUAUAUGUGUUAUAGUUUAUAAAACCAGAUAAGAGAUAUGUCAAUUUUGUGAACAAUGUUACUAUCACUUUGUCGUAUGAAGAAAUGAUCAAAAUAAAAGUUUUAGAUCUUGACGAGUUAUUUAACUUUGUUGUUGAUGACUUUUUCAGUUGAUAUC